UCUUUGGGAUAGCCAAGAGUGGGAUGGAUAAACCAGGAACCCUGGAGCGGGGAAAAGCUGGGGGAGAGCUUGGUUCACCACAUUUCCAUCUUAUCCAUGAGAGAAUUACCCUUCUCUAAUGUCGGGAACAAGGAGACCUCCUGACCACGGACAGUUUGACCAAGAGUAAUUCCAGUUCAAAAUGAUUUCCAUCCAUCAUGAGAAACAAAUUGAAGGAACUGGACGAGAAAAAUUCCAAGCCACUCUGAGUUUUCAACCCCUAAUGACCUUUAAGGAAAUAUACUGAUAUUAUAGAAUCCAUUUUCAUGUGAAAUGAAGCCACAAAAAAUACUUUAUCCUUAUUAAGGCUGGUAAAGCUUGGGAAGGAAACAAUCCAGGGAUUCUGUGCAGCUCCAAAACAGAAUUUCAAUUCCUGCUAAGAGAAUUUUGACCCCUUUCUAAAGAAACUGUUCCCCUCUAGGGACUUCUGGAAAUGUUGUUCUGGAAUUUGAUUUUCCUUUGGCUCUGAAAGGACCAUCCCAGCCCUGCUGCAUGGGUUAGUGACCACAAAUCCAUCCAAAAUUCUGGAAAUGGUAACAAUAAUAAUAGUUAUUCCUAUUACUGCGUGGCAUUAUAAUAUCCCUGUGUUUUACAGCUGUACACUGGGAUGGAAAAUGGCCACAUAAACCUUGGGAUAAAGGUGCUGCUUCCUAAGGACUCUGCCAGUGUCAUCCAUCCCUGACAAGACGAUGGAUAAGAGGGUUUCCCAGGAAAGAGGGAAUAACUUCAAAGGAUUAAGAGAGCUUGACAUGACCAACAGCAAUAGUCAGUUCAUUCCCUGCAGUCCCAGGCAGCACAUGAAAAUCAGAAUUUUGAGGUGGGAUUCCACACUGUCCUGUUCCCCAUGGAGCUGGGAUGACAAUUUUCUGCUUUUAUCACUGCUCCGCACUGGAGUUCAAAAAAAGGUGUUUCAAAGCAGACUUCUCCUACAAACACUCCAUCUCCAGCCCAAAUCCCUCACAUCUCUUUCUGAUGGAGGGAGCUGUGGGGCUCCACAUCAAUCACCAACAUGCUUGGGAGGAUCAGAUCCCAGU